UGUUGAGGUUUUUCCUUAACUUAUUUUUCUCUUGGAAUAUGAAACCCUAUGUUUUUCCUGCAUGUUGGUACAUGUAAAUAACACAAUGGUUCAUAAUCUUUUAUUUAGAGUUUAAUAAAUAUGAUAAAAGUGGAUCAUAAUUUUUACAAUAACCUAACAUGGCUAUUUUUGAAGGUAAGACCGAGCGUCAUUCUCUUGGUCACUAGAUGCCUUGAGAAUUUAUAGUCACUCACCCAACUUGGGAUUUGAGUAAUCAUGAAUAACUCGAUUUUGUGUUACUAUGUGAUGCGGUGGUGAGAGGACUUUGGUAUGGGAGGGAGGACUAGAGAGAGAUGUUUAGAUUUGAGAAGGGUAAUUGGUAUUGAAAAUUGAGAUGCCUAUAUACCAUGGCAGGGUCGGUUCCAGCUUUUUCUUUUCCUUGGUAAUUACUAUAAAUACAAAUGGAUGGUGCAUACAAAUUACUAUAACUUCAAGAAAAAACAAAACAGACCCAGAUACCAAUUCACUUCAGUCCUCAAACAUCUCGAUCCAUUCCAGCUUUUUCUCUUCCUUGCAUGGAGAGCUGUACAAGGCACUUUCUGCAAUUUAUUGCAAAAUAAUGUCAGUUAUCCCUUCUUUGGAUACAACUCAAACUGGAAGCAAGUCUGGUAUCCAAGCUUUACGUUCGUUGCAUGUAGCACAUGAAAAGUCUAAGAAUGUAGUAAGCUUUAUUUGGCAGGUAUUCCCUCAAUAGUUAAGGAAACAAUUAUUUUCCCCUUUCUGCUUUGAAGGAAUAGAAUUCUCUUUAGAUGUUUAAAUUUGUUUCAUUCAUGAUGAGGUUGUGUAUAAAUUGCAUUUGCAUUUGUAACUCAGUUUUUGACUCGAACAUUGUUUAUAAAGAUUGCAGGUGCAUAAUUUUUCAUAUAAUUUUCAAUCCCGCAGCAACGCGCGGGUGCAAAUUCUAGUCUAUUCUAAAACUAGGGAGGGAUUGACUGUUCAUUGAGCUACAGUCAAUUGUUUGCCCCUCGAUUUCAUCUUAUUUACACAAAAACCAUGAGCAUUGGGCUGGGUUUGAAGGAUAUUAUUUGAACUGAUAAGGAUGAUUUUGUCCGGAUGGUUUAGGACGAAUUACCCCUUGAUUUCAUCUUAUUUGCAAGAAACCCAUUAUUUGUGGACUAGGUUGGAAGGGCAAUUUUGUCCUCUGGGUUUUGAGUGAAUUAAAGGGUUGCCGUGUAAGGCUUCCACUUACUGUCUUUCAUUUAUUGUUUCGGGGAAAUGAAGCUCUCACAGAGAGCGGAAGAACGGAGAGACAGAGAGACAGACAGAGAGAGAAAGAGAGAGAGAGAGACAGAGAGAGAGAGAGAUUUCGAGGGGAAGACAGCGCAGGGAGAGUGGGUGAUAUCAGAAGUGGGAAAGUGGGUGAUAUCUUCUCGGUUUUGACUAAGUUCGAGAGUUGUUGUGUGCUGUCCUUCGAUGAGGGUUUCGGGGGGAUGGAGAUUGUGACAGAGAGCGGAGAAAUUAAGCUCUCACAGAGAGCGGAAGAAACGGAGAGACAGAGAGACAGACAGAGAGAGAAAGAGAGAGAGAGAGAGACAGAGAGAGAGAUGCCGAGGGGAAGACAGCAGGGAGAGGUAUGGCUGUUGUCUGCAAUUUCAUUUGCUGUCCUUCAAGGAGGGUUUCGGGGGGAUGGACUGUGACAGAGAGCGGAAGAGAGAGAGAGAGAGAGACAGACAGAGAUGACGAUGGAAAGAAAACGAAGAGGAAAGGGGAAGCUACAUGCCUGAAUUUCGAAAGCCAAGUGCUUUUAAAAUUUUUUUUUUUCCUAUCAGCUUAGAUCUGGUUUUUUGUUGUGGAUUAUUUUCGAAUUUUUUAGUGUGUUAGGUCAGAUUUUAGUGGAAUAAUCAGAGAUAUUUAUUUCUUGCAUAUAUAUCUGCUUGCAGGUUCGGUUUGUCAUUUUGAUUUCGUACUCAAAUAUUUAUAUUUUAUUAUUACUUGCAUUUAUAUCUGCUUGCAUGUUGUGAUUGAGAGGCCAGAAUUAGUUUACAAAUCUUUCUGCACUGUUUGGUUGGUUAGGUAGCAUGCUUUUGUCUUUUUUUUAAUCGAUUUGGGGAUUUUCUGCCCCUCUAUUUAUUCAUUUGCUCUCAGUUUUGUUUCUCAGGUUCCUGUGUUUUUCUGUUAACUGUUCAAAGGUCCAUUUUUUUCCGUUUUGUAGUUUAAAUUUUGUCUAUUAUUCUGUCUGGCCUACCAUUUCAAUUCCAAUGCUCUUAAAUUGUAUGCAUCUGUGUCUCUGUGUGUGCAUAUGAGGUUGUGCAUCGACUUCUCUGCUGCCUAAUUUUAAUGCAAUUUUUUUUAUUUCAAUUGUUUCAAGACGAGAAAACUCAUUAUUCUCUUAUUUUUAUGGAUUGCAGGAAACGUCCUGCUGACUUGGGAUUUCAGGGUUUUAUUGAAAACAAACUUUUACAUCCCAAUGCAAAAGGAGAGAGGAGGCAAUGGCUGGCAUUGUUGAUAACGCACUUCUCUUUGGAAAGAAACAUGUUUGGUCUUCAAAACACCAUUUAAAUGUGAAAGAAGAAGUUCCCCUCACAUGGUUAGAGCCGUAGAGGGGGAGUUCAAAGUCAAGAGGAGGGGCGUAAGCACAUAUUAAUUUUUUGUAUCUCAAUCUGAUUGUUUGAUUUUGGGUGAAUAGAUCAUGGGUUGAGUGAUGCAGGUGAAGCUUUGUUUUAGGACCAUCUUGGAGAAGUAUUGUUUGUUGAGCUGCCAGAAAAUGGUCACUCAGUCUCUCAAGGGGGCAGCAGCUUUGGAUUGCCUUUCCAGAAUGUUGAGGUCAUUGAAAUUAAACUAAUUGAACAUUAUUUGAUAAUUUUGGCAUAUGAAUUUGAAUUGGUAUUGAUUUAUUUUCACAACUUUUGGAAUUACGAGAUGGGACUACCAAGUCCAGAGGUCGGAUGGUCAUCUAAGCUGCUGUUAGUUUUGCUCUCCAAAUGACUCUCAUGAAUGCGAACCUUGAUCAAACGUACAUAAUAUUUGAGCAUAUUUGAGCAGAUAGUUUAUCCAGUAAAGGUUUCCACCUAUUUUACUUUAUAGAUACACUUAACAGUCUUUAUAAAUAAUUGAUUUUUAUAGAGUCAGUUGAGAUGAAACCUGUUCUGCAACAACUUCUUUUGAAGGUUCUUUGAAAUUUCUUCAGGUAUUUUUGGAAAAAAAGUGUGAUAUGUCAGCAUAGUCAUGGUAUAUGACAAUGAUAAUUUGAAGAACCAUUUAAAGUAUUUUGGUAAUCAGCAUACUAAAAUUUGAAUGUGAUAUAUCCGUUUAGUUUUCUAUACACAAUGAUAAUACUCAAGUAUAAUUUACAUCAUAUAUCUUUUAAAGUACAUGAAACUAUGAAGAAAAAACCCUAAUUAAUCUGAUUAUGGGGGUUUUGUUUUAUAUCAAGAUAUUUCAGCAGAAGGCAGACUUUGAAGAGUUCACGCUGCAUAGAAAGAUGAUGAAAUGCCACCCAUUGAAUCCAUUGUUGCUCCACUGGAGGCGAAGCUUAAGCUUGCUGCAGGAGGUAUACUUUUGUUCUACAAUAUGACCUCUUUAAUUUGUUUGUAUAUGGGAGGUAUAGAGUGUUCCAUGUGUAUUUGGUUUCCAUAUUGUUUAUGGAUCUAUCAACUCAUUUAUUACAUGAAUUAAUAAUUAUAACGAGUUAAAUUUUUUUUACAUGAGCA